GAAUGGAUCCAAUUAGUUAUGUGGGUGGUUUUAUAUCUGUAAUACGCAUGCGCAUUACUCCCUCAUAGACAAAAAUCACAAAAUGGCUGCCACCAACUGAGUGUUUUUCAUAUUUCUAGUGCUGUCUUUGUGGUUCCAGGCCUUUUUGCUAGUUGUUUGCAUGAGUUGGAUCACUGAUUAGACUAAUAGAACCUUGCACUAGAAUGUAUCUUCUAAUUAUUCUUGUGUGAGGAAAUGGGCUUUUUAGUCUUUCCUGGGUUAUCAUUUGUUCCUUCCACCACAAUUACUCAUUUCAGAACUGCAUUUUAUACCUUGCCAGCGAAUUGGAUCACAAGAGGUUGCUCAUGAGUUUUUGCUUACAUGUGUAGUAGGAGACUAGGAGCUCAAGUAGGUACAAGGUUGAGCUGUAAGCUGUGUAUAAUUAUAGACCACUAGCAAUAAAAAUUGAUUACAUAGGAAGAUUAUUAGAAAUUUUUACGGUUGUAAGGUGUGGUUUAGGAUGAAAUAAAUUCAGCUGCCAUUUUGGUUGACAACUUUUAAUGGACAACAUAUGGGCUGGCAUGAAAACAAACCUGUAUUGAGAAUUCUGGGGCAAAUUGGACCACAUCUUUUGGAGAAGAAGCUUAAAGGCAGGUCUUUUUUCUUAUAACAAGCACAUUUUAGCUUUUAAUAGAGCUACAGCAGGUAAGUGAGGCAUUUUCUUUUUGCAUUCAUUGCCGACUUCCUUAACAAACUUUCCAACGAAAAUGACAGCCAAUUAUGACAUGUGGGCAGAUACCGUAUAUAAAAUUAAUGAAAUUCAUUUCCAAUUCUCACUUCCAGUGGUCUAUAA